rnacentral:snoRNA from 1 species
GCUCCUAUGAAGACUACCUAUCUUAUGUCCAAUUGCUGUCAGACCAUAUUAUGGUGACAUGAUACUUCUCUGAGGAGC